AUGAAGAAUGAUGCAAAAAAGCAGAGGGAGUUCUUUGAAAGAAGGAAAAUGCAACAGAAGUUGAAAAACGUAGGAAUGGCUCUGCCAGCAUCCCCUCAAGGCUCCAGCUCUGGUAGUAUGGACCUGGUGACUUUGUUUAUUGUCAACCAGAUUGCUGCUAAGAAAGAAAUUAAAGCUCCUCCGAAAGUGGCAGUUCUUAGCAGCUGUAAAGGAGGAUCCAAGUAUAAGAGAAAUGAGCCCCUGGUACUCCCAAUGAGCCCCUGCUCUCCAUCACAGCUGAGUCUUGUUGAGGGCCAAGCUCAGUACAGUGUUCAAGGAACGAGAAAAAGAAAGCAUGUUUUUCCACAAGGCUUCAAGUGUCGGCAGUUGUCACCAGUGCUGGAGUCAGCUUUCUCAGACAACAGUGCAUCUGACUACCUGCCACCCAUAACCGACCCCCUCAGCCCCUUCUCCUCCACCUCAUCAGCUUCCUCAGGCCAAGGAUUAUUCCCCCUGCAGCUGAAGCUCCAGCAGAGAAGCCAGACGCAGGCACAGCCUCUCAGCUGCUCCCCUCCACCCUGGGACACCUCAGGGCUGGAGCAGACCAGGUUUCAGCCGUUCUCCCAGCCCAGAGGUAUGUCCGACGGUAUCUCCUGGUCAUGUGGGUCAAAGCCCCCCCUCUACCAGCUGAAGACCCCCACAGCAGCCCAAGUCCUGUUCAGAAGUCCAGAGCCAGAUAACACAAAGGCCAGGGGCCCAACGAGGCACGACGCCCCCUUCUCUCUCAACCAACCAGAGGACAAGGAGCCCGUGUUGGACUUCACUCUCAACCAGUCAGAAACUGAGCAGCCGUUUGAGGGAGAUGUCUUCAGAGGCUUCAGUACUGAAGAAUGUGAAAGAGAAGCUUUUGGGAGAGGACAAUCAAAGAUAUAUCUGAAAGAUGAAUCACCAGCCUGA
rnacentral:lncRNA from 1 species